CGGAGCGCGCCCCAGCCCCGCCAUCCCUCUCGGAACGGGCUGGGAGGUGCAGCCGCGCGGCCCCCGGCUCAUCCCAAACCCAAGUAAACCCCCCUCUCCAUCCCUCAGCGCCCCCCGGUCAGUAACUUUUCCUGCCGUGCCCCCGCCACUACGCGGUGCAGAGAGCGCGGCCGGCCCCGCCGCCUCCGCGGGGCGGUGAAGAGGCCCCGCCGCCUCCGCGGGGCGGUGAAGAGAUGCAGGGGGAGGGGGAUGCGCACGGAGGAGGACGGGCUCCUCCUCUCCGCAGGACCCGAAAAGCUUCGGCCUCUCCCGGUUGGAACCGGCCGGCAUCUGCCCGAGGCAUGCGCCGUGCGCGGCCGGUGCGGGGACGGGCUGGGCGGGGGAUGCGGGGCGGGCAGACGGGAGGCCCCGAACGCAUCAGUCCCGAGAGGUGCAUCCCCCGAGAGCUCCGUCUGCGCCUCCCCCUGCCCGCUGACAGCCCCGGCCGCAGCAGCCGUGCCUCUCCUCAAACUUCACCCGUGCAUCCCCCGAGAGCUCCGUCUGCGCCUCCCCCUGCCCGCUGACAGCCCCGGCCGCAGCAGCCGUGCCUCUCCACAAACUUCACCCGUGCAUCCCCCUGGGACUUGCAACCCCUGCGAAUCUCAGCUGUGCCUUCACCUUCAAGGUGCGCCCAUAAUACCCCGUGAAAGUUUCGUCUGCGCCUCCUGCUCCGGUAGGUGCUCCUGUGCACCCCCCGUGCAUCAUGCCUCGCUAACAUCCCUGCAUCCCCCUGCCGGGUGCACAUGUCCCCGUGAGACGCACCCGUGCACCUCCCUACGAGUUUCAUCCCUUCAUGUCCCAGGAGAUGCACUCUGCCGUCAGGGAGUGCGGCUGUGGCACUGAAACUCUGCGGGAUUUGCCUUCCCCCAGCUCACAGG
rnacentral:lncRNA from 12 species